GCCAGCGUAGCUCAGUUGGCAGAGCAGCUGAUUUGUAAUCAGCCGGUCGCGGGUUCGAAUCCCUCCGCUGGCU
rnacentral:tRNA from 2 species